UUAAAAACUUGCUUGAAUUUGUGUGGCUUAUAGAUAAGAGAAUGUGCUUAAUCUCUUCUCAUGACAAUUAGAUCAAGGAAUUGGCAAGAUUGAUUGUGAUUAGAGAGACUGGAUUGCCAA